AGAGUUUGAUCAUGGCUCAGAACCCAACGCUGGCGGCGCGUUUUAAGCAUGCAAGUCGAACGGUAGAAAGGUGCUUGCACCUUUUGAGAGUGGCGAACGGGUGAGUAACACGUGGGUGAUCUACCCUUGAGUUUGGGAUAGCCUAUGGAAACAUAGGGUAAUACCAAAUAAUGUCAUUAUUUUUGAGUGAUGACCAAAGGGGCUUCGGCCUCGCUUAAGGAUGAGCCUGCGCCUUAUUAGCUAGUUGGUGGGGUAAAGGCCUACCAAGGCAACGAUAAGUAGCCGGCCUGAGAGGGUGAACGGCCACAUUGGGACUGAGAUACGGCCCAGACUCCUACGGGAGGCAGCAGCUAAGAAUCUUCCGCAAUGGGCGAAAGCCUGACGGAGCGACGCCGCGUGGACGAAGAAGGCCGAGAGGUUGUAAAGUCCUUUUGUCAGUGAGGAAUAAUGAUUACAGGUAAUGGUAGUCAGAUGACGUUAGCUGACGAAUAAGCUCCGGCUAAUUACGUGCCAGCAGCCGCGGUAAU
rnacentral:rRNA from 1 species